GCAACUAGGGCUAAGGCGUAGCAGCUCUGCCCGGAAAGCAGAAGAUGCGGGUUCGAGUCCCGCCUGUUUUG
rnacentral:tRNA from 1 species